UACGGGGGGGGCAAGCGUUGUUCGGAAUUACUGGCGUAAAGGGCUCGUAGGUGGCCAACUAAGUCGGACGUGAAAUCCCUCAGCUUAAACCUGGGGGAACUGCGUCCGAUACUUGGAUGGCUCGAGUUUGGGAGAGGGAUGCGGAAGUUCCUGGUGUAGCGGUGAAAUGCGCAGAUAAUCAGGAGGAACACCGGUGGCGAAGGCGGGUCUCUGGGCCGAUACUGACGCUGAGGAGCGAAAAGCGUGGGGGAGCGAACAGG
rnacentral:rRNA from 1 species